ACUCCUACGGGAGGCAGCAGUGGGGAAUAUUGCACAAUGGGGGAAACCCUGAUGCAGCCAUGCCGCGUGUGUGAAGAAGGCCUUCGGGUUGUAAAGCACUUUCAGUAGGGAGGAAGGUAGUGUAGUUAAACACCUGCAAUUAUUUGACGUUACCUUACAGAAGAAGCACCGGCUAACUCCGUGCCAGCAGCCGCCGGUAAUACGGAGGGUGCGGCGGUUAAUCGGAAUUACUGGGCGUAAAGCGCAUGCAGGCGGCCUGUUAAGUCAGAUGUGAAAGCCCGGGGCUUAACCUCGGAAUUGCAUUUGAAACUGGCAGGCUAGAGUCUUGUAGAGGGGGUAGAAUUUCAGGUGUAGCGGUGAAAUGCGUAGGAGAUCUGAAGGAAUACCAGU
rnacentral:rRNA from 1 species